UACGUAGGGUGCGAGCGUUGUCCGGAUUUAUUGGGCGUAAAGAGCUCGUAGGCGGCUUGUCGCGUCGUCCGUGAAAACCUGCAGCUCAACUGCAGGCUUGCGGUCGAUACGGGCAGGCUAGAGUUCGGUAGGGGAGACUGGAAUUCCUGGUGUAGCGGUGAAAUGCGCAGAUAUCAGGAGGAACACCGGUGGCGAAGGCGGAUCUCUGGGCCGAUACUGACGCUGAGGAGCGAAAGCGUGGGGAGCGAACAGG
rnacentral:rRNA from 1 species